rnacentral:lncRNA from 1 species
ACAGCCAGUUUUGGAUCAGAUGCUAACAACUAUAAAAACCUCUUUGCCUUCAGACACCCCCGGUAUGAACCUGUAGGCACACUCCAAGCUGGAAGCAGUGCGGGCCACUCUUCCCCACGGCAGGCAGUCCAUCUGCUUUUUUUCUUGGCUCUUCUUUUAAUAAAUGUAACCUUUUCUCCUAUGGCUUAGGCAUUGUGUUGAACCACGCCGACAAAUGUUCUCAGGUUUUUAAAAUAUUCGCUAUUAAAGAGAUCAGGCCAGAUGUGUUCUGCUGCCUUCAUCACUCUAGGUUGUGUACUCUAUGUUGAAAUGAUUAUUGUCAUCACCCGGUGAAAGGCAGCUGAUGAAAGACUCUCUCUCCCUCUGAUGAGCUAUCCAUCUGCCCAUGCCUGGUGCAGAGUGCACAGGUUUUGUUUUUGAGUGAUAUAUUGCUGUGUCAAAGUGGCUUAUGUGCUGCUUAAACUUGCGCUAGUGAAUGAUAGAGAGUAUGUAUUAAACAACCUCAUUGUGGCUGCAGCUGUAUUUCUCACCUCCAGCUCUGGGAGCACGGUGCGGCCCCGUGUGGCCCAACAACAGCAGUCCUUGUGCCAGGGCUGCUGCAGCCCCGCCGGGCCUGGGCAUGGUGCUGCCUGGGAGCCAGUGCUGAGAGGGGAAGCCUCAGGCUGGAAGCAAGUUGGCUGUCGGUAUAACUCAUGGAGGAGUGCCUUGGAGCAGAGCUGACUGAUGGCCACAGGGCUGGUGUUUGGACUCCCAGUUUUCAGCUGCAGCACAAGCAAGAGACCCAAAGGCAUUAGGCUCAGAAAGGAUUCUCCAGUGGGUGAUCAUGGAAAAAAGAAACCUGACUUUGCAGAUGUUACGUGGCCUCGGCCAUGGCUCUCCAGAGGCAGAACCGAGGCCAUUGGUGUGGGUGCAGCGAGCAGCUGGAUGGGAUGGCUGCAGCACAGCUUGGGGACGCGGCAGCCCCGGGCACAGCAGGCAGGGCCCCGCACCGAGCUGCCCCGUGGUGCCCCAUGGAGGCUCUGGGUGGGUUUGGGAGCUGCUCUCCUCUUCUUGGUGCCCCCAAUGCAAACCUGAAGCCAUAACUCACAGUGUGGGUGGGCAAAACUCCUGCUAAGAGCUAAUUAACCGCUGGGAUUAAUAUUUCUGUUUUAGGGUCCACAAAUGUCAUUAUACCAUUAUAAAAUAAACUCCUGAAAAAU